GGGAGAGGAAGCGUAAGAAGCGAAGAUAAGUGACAAGGAUGAUGCCAAGUACACGAGGAGUGGGAGGUCACACGAGGCAGUGGUGGAGUCUGUAAGAUGUUUCCCAGUUGGCAACACCACAUUGAGGCUUUUUUCCCUGAACAAUAACUGACUCAGUCAGGCAGCCUGGCAAGUUGCUGCUCAGCCAGAUGCAACAGAUCACCGGUUAAUUAGUCAACCUGUACAGACGGGCUGGUGUUCCAUCUUCUCUCUCACUGUGAGCCUCCCACUGAGAUUGAUUCACUGCUGCCCGGACACCCAGGCCCCUUCAGGUCAUUAAAAAGUCGUUACCAUCCUGUGUGCAAAGUCUGUGCCUCUGAAAGCAGUUUUCUGGAAACAGCAUAAGAAAAAUCAUUCUCUUUGCAAAAAUGCUAUCAUUCAUAUGUGAAGGUGAUGCCAUCUGAUCAUCCCCAGAGACUGCACUCUUGGCCCAUGUCCUCGGUGGGGGUGGGGGUGGGGGUGGGGGGUGUUUUGCUCCCACACCCACGUGGCUCCCCUGGUGAGUCUGCUGGAUGGGAUGCAGCCCGUGGGCUGGGGCCAGGGCUACAGAGGGAGGCCCUGUGGGGCUUCAACCCCGGGCCUGGGCUCCCACAGGCAAACCUGUCACUUCUGAGGUGAGCUGUGUGACUGACAGACUGGCAUCCUUCCUCUGGCAGGUCAGAGGAAGCGAGGGGUCCACGCUGCGUGGGGCAGCAGAGGCCCAUCCCUGUUCCUAAGGGACGCACACACUGAGUCUGGGCCACUGCCUGCUUCUCAGACCAGCCCUCCAGGAAAGGGAGACAGAGCCAGGACAAGUGACAGCAGCCGCUGACAACUAUUAUCUUCCAAUCGGUUUCAGAAAAAUGACUGGAGUGGAGAGGGGCUGGGUGUGGAGGAGGUGCAGACUGUGUUCUUAGAUUUCUAGCUGCAUGCCUAUCAAAAAAAUCCUUACGUGCUUCUGGACAUAGAGGUAAAACUUGGCUCACGGUCUUCAACAACAUGCUUGUGGCUCUGAGAGUGCUGGGGGAUCCAAAUGAUGCCUCCUGAGGUCCCACCUGUCCUCCUCUCACAACAGGGCUGGGAGCCCAAGGCAGUGAAGGGAGGGAGAUCUCACGGGAGUCGCCUUGGGCAGAGCCGGGCUCCCUGGGCAGCGGGCUCACGGCUUGGGCGCGUGUGCCCCCUGCCUGUGCCUGGGGAAGCAGGGCUGGCAGGGCAGCAGCCCAAGCGGGAGGGAGCAUUUGUGGAGUAAUAAGAUCAGAAGGCCUCAAUUUAAUACCAAUCCUCCAUUACACCGCAUUAAUAUCUAAUCACAUUAGAGUUCAUUUUCACUAACACAGCCUGAGAGUUGCAAGAUGAUUUCAUUUUCAGCAAAACUGGAUACCGACCCUAAAACAAAAUAUCAGGAGGAAGGGAUGCUGGUUAGGGUGAGAUAAUGAGCAUCUCUCCCUACCCAAGUAUCAGAUCCCAUUUCCCCUCAACUUCUUGCAAACAACUUUAAAUGCUGCUCGAUGGGGACAUGAUAAGGUGGCCCCGGAAGUCCUUGUCACGUUGGGGCCGUGUAUGCAAUCACCAUGCAACUGGAGGACGGCUGCUGAGCCGCGAUCUCACAGCGCCAGGAAACUACAGCCAUCACUCAGUCCACACGAGGCUCCACUGCCAUAUUUAUUGAGCUUUACUGACAGCUGUAUAAAAUAUGCCUCCUUGCCAAGUACCCUGAGUCCCUUCCUUAGCAGGCAGCAUGCCCAGGGAGGCAACGGAGUCUUAGGGGCAUGGCACCCAGUUUGGCUCACGGCCAUGACUGGGUGACGGAGGAAGUGUCUGCACAGGAGCAACGGGUGUCAAAGCAUAUGUGGUCUCUGCUUCGAGCACGUACACUAAAACAGAAAGCCCUACCCUGGACUGAAGUCCCAAGCUGUUACUCGCAGGAGGGGCUCUCGACCACAGGAACCACUCCCCGCCUUGAGCUGCAGGCUCAAGAACAGGCUCCCCCCCGGUUACAGAAGUAACCUCACCUGGAGUGCGCUCCGGAGGACCGGGGAGUGUAAAUAUGUAUCUACACACAGAUGUGUUCAGAGGGAGAUCCGAAAGAAUGUUUGUCAAAAUGUUGAUCAGGAUUUUAGCUUUGGAUGAAAGAAUUCCCAGAGAAAUUUACUAUACUUUUGUACUUUUCUGCACUGUCUGAAUUUGGUAGAAUGUAGAGGUAAGCAUUUUUGAAAAGUACCUGUCCUGCCUACUACUCAAGGUUUUAACACAGAUCACGUGACAUGAAGCAAGUGAACAUGCCAAUGCUAUAUUAUUAUGCAAGAUAUUUCUAGUGGGGGGAACGGGGCAGGGCAAGGGGGGUGACAGUCAAGACAGGAGGCUUUGAUCCUGGCCCUUCAUGAACUAGAGGUGGUACGGCACACUGGUUGACAACAUGGGCUCUGGGUCAGAAUCUCAGUUUUGCACUUUUACCAGCUCUGUGACCUUAGGCAAGCUGCUUAACCUCUCUGGGCUUCAGGCUCCUCAUCUGUAAAAUGAAGAUAAUAAAAAUAUCUAGCUUUUUUGGGUAAAGAUUAAAUAUAUUAACAAGUAUAAAACAUCUAGAACCAUGUGCUAAGUACUAAAGCACUAAAAAUGGUACUGUUAUUACUACUGGAGAUGGUAUUGUUAUUACUACUAAAUUACUAUUAGCCAAAAGAGUCUGGACAGGACACACUGCUUUCCUGGGCCUCAUCUGGGAGUCACCAAGUUUGUUACUAUGUGAUUUACUGACUACUGCAGAGGUUCCCAGGGGUACCCAUGGCACCCCAUCAGCACCCAUUUCUUGGAGGCAGUCAAGGUGGCUGGGCUUUGGAGGAAUUAUGCAAGCAUUUCUUGAAUAUACUCUUGAACCUGACACCUGAGUGUUCCAGGGGAUCCACGCAAGACGUAGUG